rnacentral:misc_RNA from 1 species
GCAUAUGUGUUUUACAAUCUUCACGGAAUUGGUCAGGAUCGUAGGCUUCAAUUUUACGUUUCAGCGCGUAGCUAAGGGCCAGUCCGGUGACGAAUUGCCAGCUAAUAUCGUUGUUUUUAUUGCGCACAGGCAGGUAACUAUCCAGUUGAUUGUUACCCACUUUUAACUCGGUUGCGAUAGGAUACAUUCUGCUACCCCUCCAUACCGCUAAUAGUGAUCAUAUCGUCAUCCGCCUUUGCACGAUAAACCCGUUGUCUGCCAUCAUAAAAUUUGAUUUCGCUGCUGGAUUUAGCCUGCUCCGCGAUCAACUCAACAAUUUCAUCCAGUAACACGAUGGCAUUUUUAUCGUAUUUAUUCGGACGAUAGCCAUUAUUCAACUUGUCCAAUAAUUCGAACAAAUUAAGCCCGAUAUGGA